UUAAAAACCAUAGGCUAAAAUUAAAUUGGAUAGAAAAAAGAGAAAUUAGGGUUUACAUGUGAAUGAAGGCUAUUGACAUUUCAGAGCAAAGGUCUCCCUUCUUCAACGUACCAACGGCGGCCGCCAUCCAUUCUUCUCCGGCAAAAAUUCGAGCGGCGCACGACAGAGGAAGUUUCUUCUCCGAUCAGACACGUACCGUCGCGGGUAACCACAAUGCAGUCGUAAUCUCACUCUUCCCUCGUUGCAUCAAUCUCUUCAAUUGAACUCUCCGAUCAAAACGCCACCACCGCCGUCACUCCUCACCAAUAAACACAAUCGUAACCUAUUCUCUGAAUCGUUCUCACAUCUUUUUGACAUUGCUCCUCCCUCAUCUCAGAUUACUCUCCAUCCAUCUCAACCUCCGUUCGAGCCUUCUCUUAUCAGUUUAAUUUAUUCUCGAUUCGAUUGCGAUGUAAGCAGAUUCAUACGAAAUUAAACGCAAGGACGGAACAGAUGCAAACACAGCUCGAUGCUUACUUGAUCAGAGAUGACGAUUCGAAGAUGUUGGCAACGAAGACUUAAGGUUUGAUGGUUCUAUUGUGGAAGAUGACGAUGAUGCGGUGAAGGUGGUGAUGAAGGUCAGAAUCGGUGGAGAGAGAGUUUCUGAGGGAAGGUUGAAUGGAGAUGGAGGUUGAAGAUGGUGUUUUUCUGUGAAGCUUAUUCUGAGUUUAUCUAUUGUUGAUUUUUUUGUUGAAUCAAUCAGAGAGGUUGGGAAGAUGGUGAAGAAGGGAUGAAGAUGAUGAACCAAGGUUCAGAGAGCCAAGAGAGUUUGUUACGUUUUUGGAAUUCUGUUACAGAUAUUUUUUUUCUCCUUUUGAGUUCUGUUAUCAUUUUCUUUUUUCUCUUUUUUGUUGCAGAUUUUUGUUAUCCUCCUCUUUUUUGUUAUGCAUUGAAUUUUCUUUGAUGUGCAGGCUUGCAGUUUGGUUUAAUAUCGAACCGGUUUUUUUCAAUUUGAAUGCAGGGCUGAACCUAGUUUGUAAAUGGGCAAAGUCUGUUUAAAUUGCAGCUUGAUUAAAGGGUUUAUGCAAAAUUUCUUUUGUAGAUUUCUUCUGUUGGUUUUUUCAUGAGAUGUACUAUGAUUGUAACAGAUUGGACUAUGAUUGUAAUGGACAUUUGUUGAUAUUUGGAUUUUUGAAUUUUUGUAAUACCCUUGGGAUGAAUGAAGAUUGCUUGAAAA